rnacentral:rRNA from 1 species
AUUGAACGCUGGCGGCAGGCUUAACACAUGCAAGUCGAGCGGGGGAAGGUAGCUUGCUACCGGACCUAGCGGCGGACGGGUGAGUAAUGCUUAGGAAUCUGCCUAUUAGUGGGGGACAACAUCUCGAAAGGGAUGCUAAUACCACAUACGUCCUACGGGAGAAAGCAGGGGAUCUUCGGACCUUGCGCUAAUAGAUGAGCCUAAGUCGGAUUAGCUAGUUGGUGGGGUAAAGGCCUACCAAGGCGACGAGCUGUAGCGGGUCUGAGAGGAUGAUCCGCCACACUGGGACUGAGACACGGCCCAGACUCCUACGGGAGGCAGCAGUGGGGAAUAUUGGACAAUGGGGGGAACCCUGAUCCAGCCAUGCCGCGUGUGUGAAGAAGGCCUUAUGGUUGUAAAGCACUUUAAGCGAGGAGGAGGCUACUCUAGUUAAUACCUAGGGAUAGUGGACGUUACUCGCAGAAUAAGCACCGGCUAACUCUGUGCCAGCCGCCGCGGUAAUAC